rnacentral:rRNA from 1 species
GGUGACAGCCCCGUACACAAAAAUGCACAUAUUGUGAGCUCGAUGAGUAGGGCGGGACACGUGGUAUCCUGUCUGAAUAUGGGGGGACCAUCCUCCAAGGCUAAAUACUCCUGACUGACCGAUAGUGAACCAGUACCGUGAGGGAAAGGCGAAAAGAACCCCGGCGAGGGGAGUGAAAAAGAACCUGAAACCGUGUACGUACAAGCAGUGGGAGCCUCUUAAUGGGGUGACUGCGUACCUUUUGUAUAAUGGGUCAGCGACUUAUAUUCUGUAGCAAGGUUAACCGAAUAGGGGAGCCGAAGGGAAACCGAGUCUUAACUGGGCGUUAAGUUGCAGGGUAUAGACCCGAAACCCGGUGAUCUAGCCAUGGGCAGGUUGAAGGUUGGGUAACACUAACUGGAGGACCGAACCGACUAAUGUUGAAAAAUUAGCGGAUGACUUGUGGCUGGGGGUGAAAGGCCAAUCAAACCGGGAGAUAGCUGGUUCUCCCCGAAAGCUAUUUAGGUAGCGCCUCGUGAAUUCAUCUCCGGGGGUAGAGCACUGUUUCGGCAAGGGGGUCAUCCCGACUUACCAACCCGAUGCAAACUGCGAAUACCGGAGAAUGUUAUCACGGGAGACACACGGCGGGUGCUAACGUCCGUCGUGAAGAGGGAAACAACCCAGACCGCCAGCUAAGGUCCCAAAGUCAUGGUUAAGUGGGAAACGAUGUGGGAAGGCCCAGACAGCCAGGAUGUUGGCUUAGAAGCAGCCAUCAUUUAAAGAAAGCGUAAUAGCUCACUGGUCGAGUCGGCCUGCGCGGAAGAUGUAACGGGGCUAAACCAUG